AUUUUAAUGUUAUUAAUUUAUAUUAAUUUGAUUCAUAUUUAUUGAAAAAUCUUACAUUUUAAGUAUUUUUUAUAGAAAAAAUUAUUUAUAAUUAUAGUUUAAUAUUACUGUGAAGGAAUUUUUAUUAUUAUUUAAAAGUAAACUUUUUUUGUUGUACCUUUUGUAUCAGGGUUUAUUAAAAUCAUUUUAAUUAUAUUUAAUUUUCUCGAAAUUAAAAGAGAUAAUUUUAAAUGCUAUUUUAUGUUUUAUAAUAAUUUGUAAUUUAAAAUUAGAGGUUAUAUGCUAUUCAAUUUUAAAUAUCUAGUUUUUUAAUAAUUUAAUUUAAUUAAUAUUUUACAUGGUUAUUGUAUAAUUUUAUUUUACAUAAUCUGUAAAAUAAAUAUUAUUGGGGAUAAGCUUGAUAAUACUUUUAUAACUUUUAAUUUAUAAAAUAUCUAUAGGCUUAGAAACAGUCAUUUUAAUUCGUUAUAGUUAUUAUUUUUAAAAAUUUUAUUUCUUAAAUGGUUUAAUUAUUUAUUAAAAUUUAGAUUUAAAUAAAUAAAAUCUAGUAAUAAUGAUAAAAUUAGUAGUAAUGUUUAAUAAAAAAUAGGAACUCGGCAAUUUUAGUUUUCGCCUGUUUAACAAAAACAUGUCUUGUUGUUAUGUAUCAUAACUAGUCUAACCUGCUCAAUGAUUUUUAAAUUAAAUAGCUGCAGUAUUUUAACUGUACAAAGGUAGCAUAAUCAUUUGUCUUUUAAUUGAGGACUGGAAUGAAGGGUUUGACGAAAGACUAUCUUUCUUUUUUUUAUUAAUUUAUAAAUUUAAUUUUUUAGUCAAAAAGCUUAAAUUUAAUUGGAGGACGAGAAGACCCUAUAGAAUUUUAUUUUAUAGUAUUUAUAUAUUAAUUUAUUUAUUUAUUUAUUUAUAAUAUUAUAAAAUUGUGUUGGGGUGACAUUGAGAUUUAAUUAACUCUUAAUAGAUAUUUUUCAUUUAUUUAUGUUUAUACUGAUCCUUUAUUAUGGUAUUAUAAGAUUAAAUUACCUUAGGGAUAACAGCGUAAUUCUUUCGGAGAGUUCAUAUCGAUGAAUUGGAUUUUGCGACCUCGAUGUUGGAUUAAAAUUAGGUGUUGGUGCAGUAUUUAACAUUCUGGGUCUGUUCGACCCUUAAAAUUUUACAUGAUCUGAGUUCAGACCGGCGUGAGCCAGGUUGGUUUCUAUCCUCAAUAAAAAAUAAUAUUUUAGUACGAAAGGACCAAAUAUUUAUAUUAAAUAUUUCAUAUUUGAUUAAUAAU
rnacentral:rRNA from 1 species